UACGAAGGGUGCAAGCGUUAAUCGGAAUUACUGGGCGUAAAGCGUGCGUAGGCGGUUGCUUAAGUCAGAUGUGAAAGCCCCGGGCUCAACCUGGGAAUGGCAGUGGAAACUAGGGGACUUGAAUCUGGCAGAGGGGGGUGGAAUUCCACGGUGUAGCAGUGAAAUGCGUAGAGAAUGUGGAGGAACACCGAUGGCGAAGGCAGCCCCCUGGGCUGAGAUUGACGCUCAGGCACGAAAGCGUGGGAGCAA
rnacentral:rRNA from 1 species